rnacentral:rRNA from 1 species
AUGGCCUUGCCGGAGAUCCCCGACGAGCUCCUGGUGGAAAUCCUCCUCCGCCUCCCCACCGCAUCCGACCUCAUCCGCGCCACGGCCGCCUGCGUCUCCUUCCGCCACCUCGUUGUCGACCGCUGCUUCCUCCAACGCUUCCGCAGACUCCACCCACCGCCCCUCCUCGGCUUCCUCGACCAGCACGGCUUCCACCCCGCCCUACCGCCUCACCCCUCAGCGCCUGCGGCCCGCGCUGUCGCCAGCACCGCCGACUUCUCCUUCGCCUUCCUCCCCUCCCCUGCGCGGAGCUGGUCCGUACGGGACGUCCGCGACGGCCGCGUCCUCCUGGACAGACCCCGCCGUCACGGCUCCGGCAAGGGACGCAACGGCGCCCUCUUCGCGGAGAUGGCGGUGUGCGACCCCCUGCACCGGGAGUACCUCCUGCUCCCCCCAAUCCCCGAUGACCUAGCCGCUUCGGAUGAGAACCCACUGCGGAUAUAUGGACAGCGCUGGGGCGAGAGCUUUCUAGUCCCUGAUGGCGACGACGAGGAGACACCUCCUGCCGAGGAUACGGCGUUCAGAGUGAUCUGCCUAGCGCAGUACCAAACUAAGCUGGUGGCCUUUGUCUUCUUUUCCGGCACCGGACAGUGGCGAGACAUUCCAUCCCUGAGUUGGAUCAAUUUUAUACCUGACUUCUCGUCGGAAUGGAUGGGUAUUUCUUCGUGGCGGCAAUAUGCAUAUGGUUGCUUUUACUGGUUUGCAGGUUGGAGUGGAAAAUUUGCUGUGCUUGACACCCGAAGAAUGGAGUUCACCAUGGCUGACCGCCCACCCAGAGUUAGCGGUUUCCACAGUUAUAUGGGCAUUGUGGAGGCAGGGGAAGGCAUGAUUGGGAUGUUUGUGCCUGCACAUGACAAAGUUGGCCAUCAUGGACAUGACACAGUUCUCCUUAGAUAUACCGUUCGACGAAGCAAUGGUGGAAGUUCCACCCAGUGGCAGACGGAGAAGACAAUCUCAAUAGCUUCUGGCUCCUCAUUCAUGGGUUCAAUAGGGAGGCACUUGCUCCUGUAUCAGUGCGGAAACUCAUUGCUCGAGCUAGGUUGUUUCACGCUGGAUGUCAAAACUUUCCAGCUUGAGAGGGUAUGUAUUUCACGGCUCAUUCCUGCCGAGUCACGCGCAUAUUGCAACUUCCCACCAUCAUUAUUAUCGUCACCGAAAGUGUCAAGUGGUAAACUUUCUCUAGGAUGCUAG